ACGCUUCUUUUUCCACCGGAGCUUGCUCCACCGGAAAAAGAGGAGUGGCGAACGGGUGAGUAACACGUGGGUAACCUGCCCAUCAGAAGGGGAUAACACUUGGAAACAGGUGCUAAUACCGUAUAACAAUCGAAACCGCAUGGUUUUGAUUUGAAAGGCGCUUUCGGGUGUCGCUGAUGGAUGGACCCGCGGUGCAUUAGCUAGUUGGUGAGGUAACGGCUCACCAAGGCCACGAUGCAUAGCCGACCUGAGAGGGUGAUCGGCCACAUUGGGACUGAGACACGGCCCAAACUCCUACGGGAGGCAGCAGUAGGGAAUCUUCGGCAAUGGACGAAAGUCUGACCGAGCAACGCCGCGUGAGUGAAGAAGGUUUUCGGAUCGUAAAACUCUGUUGUUAGAGAAGAACAAGGAUGAGAGUAACUGUUCAUCCCUUGACGGUAUCUAACCAGAAAGCCACGGCUAACUACGUGCCAGCAGCCGCGGUAAUACGUAGGUGGCAAGCGUUGUCCGGAUUUAUUGGGCGUAAAGCGAGCGCAGGCGGUUUCUUAAGUCUGAUGUGAAAGCCCCCGGCUCA
rnacentral:rRNA from 1 species